rnacentral:rRNA from 1 species
UACAUGGGGUGCAAACGUUGCUCGGAAUUAUUGGGCGUAAAGCGCACGUAGGCGGUUCGUUAAGUCGGAUGUGAAAGCCCUCGGCUCAACUGAGGAAGUGCACCCGAAACUGGCGAGCUUGAGUACGAAAGAGGAUCGCGGAAUUCCCGGUGUAGAGGUGAAAUUCGUAGAUAUCGGGAGGAACACCAGUGGCGAAGGCGGCGAUCUGGGUCGAUACUGACGCUGAGGUGCGAAAGCGUGGGGAGCAAACAGG